GGCGUCAUAGCUCAGUUGGGAGAGCAGCAGACUGAAGUAAAAGUUGAAGGCAGCGUGAUCUGAAGGUCCCGUGUUCAAGCCACGGUGAUGCCA